GACGAACGCUGGCGGCGUGCUUAACACAUGCAAGUCGAACGGAAAGGCCCUGCUUGCAGGGUACUCGAGUGGCGAACGGGUGAGUAACACGUGGGUUAUCUGCCCUGCACUUCGGGAUAAGCCUGGGAAACUGGGUCUAAUACCGGAUAGGAGCCAUUUUUAGUGUGAUGGUUGGAAAGUUUUUUCGGUGUAGGAUGAGCUCGCGGCCUAUCAGCUUGUCGGUGGGGUAAUGGCCUACCAAGGCGGCGACGGGUAGCCGGCCUGAGAGGGUGGACAGCCACAUUGGGACUGAGAUACGGCCCAGACUCCUACGGGAGGCAGCAGUGGGGAAUAUUGCACAAUGGGCGCAAGCCUGAUGCAGCGACGCCGCGUGGGGGAUGACGGCCUUCGGGUUGUAAACUCCUUUCGCUAGGGACGAAGCUUUUUGUGACGGUACCUAGAUAAGAAGCACCGGCUAACUACGUG
rnacentral:rRNA from 1 species